AGAGUUUGAUCCUGGCUCAGAUUGAACGCUGGCGGCGUGCUUUACACAUGCAAGUCGAGCGGCAGCAUGACCUCGGUUGAUGGCGAGCGGCGAACGGUGAGUAAUACAUCGACGUACCUUUAGUGGGGAGUAACGCAUCGAAAGAUGUGCUAAUACCGCAUAAUACUCUGAGGAGGAAAGGCGGGGAUCACGUAAGUGACCUGUCGCUGAAAGAGCGGCCGAUGGUCGAUUAGCUAGUUGGCGGGUAAAGCCCACCAAGGCGAUGAUCGAUAGCGGGUCUGAGAGGACGAUCCGUCACACUGGGACUGAGACACGGCCCCAGACUCCUACGGAGGCGAC
rnacentral:rRNA from 1 species